UACAGAGGUGGCAAGCGUUGUUCGGAAUUACUGGGCGUAAAGGGCGCGUAGGCGGUUCGUUAAGUCCUGUGUGAAAUCCCCCGGCUCAACUGGGGAACUGCACAGGAAACUAGCGGGCUUGAGUUCGGGAGAGGGAAGCGGAAUUCCGGGUGUAGCGGUGAAAUGCGUAGAUAUCUGGAGGAAUACCGGUGGCGAAGGCGGCAUCCUGGACCAUAACUGACGCUGAGGCGCGAAAGCUAGGGGAGCAAACGGG
rnacentral:rRNA from 1 species